rnacentral:rRNA from 1 species
UACGUAGGGUGCGAGCGUUGUCCGGAAUUAUUGGGCGUAAAGAGCUUGUAGGCGGUCUGUCGCGUCUGCUGUGAAAAUCCGGGGCUCAACCCCGGACUUGCAGUGGGUACGGGCAGACUAGAGUGUGGUAGGGGAGACUGGAAUUCCUGGUGUAGCGGUGAAAUGCGCAGAUAUCAGGAGGAACACCGAUGGCAAAGGCAGGUCUCUGGGCCACUACUGACGCUGAGGAGCGAAAGCGUGGGGAGCGAACAGG